rnacentral:rRNA from 1 species
GAUGAACGCUGGCGGCGUGCCUAAUACAUGCAAGUCGAGCGAACGGACGAGAAGCUUGCUUCUCUGAUGUUAGCGGCGGGCGGGUGAAUAACACGUGGAUAACCUACCUAUAAGAGUGGGAUAACUUCGGGACACCGGAGAUAACAGCGGAUGAUCUUUUGAACCACAGGGGUCAAAAGAGAAAGACGGUCUUGGGGGCAGGUAUAGCUGGUUACGCGCUGCAUUAGAUAGUUGGUAAGGUAAAGGGCUACCAAGGCAACGAUGCGUAGCCGACGUGAGAGGGUGAUAGGCCACAUUGGAAGUGAGACACGGUCCAGACUCCUACGGGAGGCAGCAGUCGGGAAUCGUCGGCAAUGGGCGAAAGCCUGACGGAGUAAGGCCGCGUGAGUGAUGAAGGUCUUGCGAUCGUAAAACUGUGUUACUAGGGAAGAACAUAUUUGUCAGUAACUGUGCACAGCUUGACGGUACCUAAUCAGAAAGCACCGGCUAACUACGUG